AUUGAACGCUGGCGGAAUGCUUUACACAUGCAAGUCGAACGGCAGCACGGGGGCAACCCUGGCGGCGAGUGGCGAACGGGUGAGUAAUACAUCGGAACGUGCCCAGUCGUGGGGGAUAACGUAGCGAAAGCUACGCUAAUACCGCAUACGAUCUACGGAUGAAAGCGGGGGAUCGCAAGACCUCGCGCGAUUGGAGCGGCCGAUGGCAGAUUAGGUAGUUGGUGAGGUAAAGGCUCACCAAGCCGACGAUCUGUAGCUGGUCUGAGAGGACGACCAGCCACACUGGGACGGAGACACGGCUCAGACUCCUACGGGAGGCAGCAGUGGGGAAUUUCGGACAAUGGGCGCAAGCCUGAUCCAGCCAUUCCGCGUGCAGGAUGAAGGCCCUCGGGUUGUAAACUGCUUUUGUACGGAACGAAACGGCUCUCUCUAAUACAGGGGGCUAAUGACGGUACCGUAAGAAUAAGCACCGGCUAACUACGUGCCAGCAGCCGCCGUAA
rnacentral:rRNA from 1 species